rnacentral:rRNA from 1 species
UACGUAGGGUGCAAGCGUUGUCCGGAAUUAUUGGGCGUAAAGAGCUCGUAGGCGGUUUGUUGCGUCGGCUGUGAAAACCCGGGGCUCAACCCCGGGCCUGCAUCCGAUACGGGCAGGCUAGAGUUCGGUAGGGGAGACUGGAAUUCCUGGUGUAGCGGUGAAAUGCGCAGAUAUCAGGAGGAACACCGGUGGCGAAGGCGGGUCUCUGGGCCGAUACUGACGCUGAGGAGCGAAAGCGUGGGGAGCGAACAGG